CUUGUUGUCCUAGGCGGCUAGGCGUAAGGAGCAAUGAAGGUGAGAGAGACGGAGGUGGUUGAAGUGUGGAUUACCCGCGUAAGCUCGUGCCGAAAUGAUAAAGAAAAUCUACGAGUCAAACCGAAGGGUUAUCAAAUUGUUUAGUGGCUCCCAACUCUGAAGUGUUCAACAGUUCAAUCACGACCUGUGCCUCCGAGGUCCCAACUCCUGACGAGAGCGUUUUCGCACAACAAAGGAAUUCAGUCCUGUAUAGGCACGCUGUGCAGCUGACCCGGUUGGCUGCCAUUUGGGUCCCGUGUUUAACAAGCAGCUCCGGCGGAAGCCCCGUUUGGAUGCAACCCCAAGCUUACGAAGGCAGGGAGAACCGAAGAAGCUGGAAGGGACGGCGACGACGAGGACGAAGUGGUGGAUGGCUGGAGAGGCGCCGAGCAGGGACAGGAAGAACUGGAGCUCGCCGCUGGCCGCCAGCCCCCACGGCCGCCGCUAGUAAGCUGUCAAGACGUAGGGCGGCAAGGGACGAAGAUUAAGGAGCCGCCAUCGAGGGGUCACCACCAGCGAAGAACGAGAGGGGACGAGCUCGAGCCGGCGAUGUGGAGCAGCCACCUCCGGAGAAGAAGCGGCGGAUGCGCCGCCGCCUGCAAAGCCUGUGAAAAAAAAAUCCCCGAUGGCCCCAAGUGUUUCUCGUGACCCUGAACGGCGAACGUGAGAAAAACUCAAUCUUUCUUUAUACCCCUAGGCGGACGUGGUUUCGUUGAAUCAACAGAAGGGUAACAUUGGUGAAAAUCA